rnacentral:lncRNA from 10 species
AAAAAUACAUGUACCUCAAUAAUUUUAUCAAGGGCAUGUUUUGUGCUAGAUACUACUCUUUAUGUUAGGAAUAUAAGCAAUUGUAUAAGAUACUUACAGAUUGCAGUAAGUGGUAAAAAAUAUAACAUGAAGAGGGAAUAGUGAUGAGAAGGUAACUAUAUAGGGGAGUGGUCAGGGAGUGCUUCACUGAAGAUGUAAAAUAUGAACUGAAACCUAUAUCCUGAUUUAAAAUAGCUUUGCAGAUGUUUUAGGUAAAUAGCAGCAAGCGAACAAUACCAAAGUAGAAUGACUCCUGCCUGCUACAUUUCCCCAGAUACCCAGGACCUUCAUGCUGUCACUCUCCAUGACCUGACCAACAUCUAUUUUGAGAAAUUAUUUUAUAUACUCAUUCAAACAGGUUACUUAUUGGUUAUUUAGAAAUUCUGGAUAAAGACUCACAAGUCAAGCGGGG